GCGAACGCUGGCGGCAGGCUUAACACAUGCAAGUCGAGCGGGGGCGUAGCAAUACGUCAGCGGGCAGACGGGGUGAGUAAACGCGUGGGAAACGUACCUUUUGGUUCGGAACAACACAGGGAAAACUUGUGCUAAUACCGGAUAAGCCCUUACGGGGAAAGAUUUAUCGCCGAAAGAUCGGCCCGCGUCUGAUUAGCUAGUUGGUGAGGUAAUGGCUCACCAAGGCGACGAUCAGUAGCUGGUCUGAGAGGAUGAUCAGCCACAUUGGGACUGAGACACGGCCCAAACUCCUACGGGAGGCAGCAGUGGGGAAUAUUGGACAAUGGGCGCAAGCCUGAUCCAGCCAUGCCGCGUGAGUGAUGAAGGCCCUAGGGUUGUAAAGCUCUUUUGUGCGGGAAGAUAAUGACGGUUACCGCAAGAAUAAGCCCCGGCUAACUUCGUGCCAGCAGCCGCGGUAAUACGAAGGGGGCUAGCGUUGCUCGGAAUCACUGGGGCGUAAAGGGUGCGUAGGCGGGUCUUUAAGUCAGGGGUGAAAUCCUGGAGCUCAACUCCAGAACUGCCUUUGAUACUGAAGAUCUUGAGUUCGGGAGAGGUGAGUGGAACUGCGAGUGUAGAGGUGAAAUUCGUAGAUAUUCGCAAGAAACACCAGUGGCGAAGGCGGCUCACUGGCCCGAUACUGACGCUGAUGCACGAAAAGCGUGGGGAGCAAACAGGAUUAGAUACCCUGGUAGUCCACGCCGUAAACGAUGAAUGCCAGCCGUUAGUGGGUUUACUCACUAGUGGCGCAGCUAACGCUUUAAGCAUUCCGCCUGGGGAGUACGGGUCGCAAGAUUAAAACUCAAAGGAAUUGACGGGGGGCCCGCACAAGCGGUGGAGCAUGUGGUUUAAUUCGACGCAACGCGCAGAAACCUUACCAGCCCUUGACAUGUCCGGGACCGGUCGCAGAGAUGUGACCCUCUCUUCGGAGCCCGGAACACAGGUGCUGCAUGGCUGUCGUCAGCUCGUGUCGUGAGAUGUUGGGGUUAGGUCCCGCAACGAGCGCAAACCCCCGUCCUUAGUUGCUACCAUUUAGUUGAGCACUCUAAGGAGACUGCCGGUGAUAAGCCGCGAGGAAGGUGGGGAUGACGUCAAGUCCUCAUGGCCCUUACGGGGCUGGGCUACACACGUUGCUACAAUGGCGGUGACAAUGGGAUGCUAAGGGGCGACCCUACGCAAAUCUCAAAAAAGCCGUCUCAGUUCGGAUUGGGCUCUGCAACUCGAGCCCAUGAAGUUGGAAUCGCUAGUAAUCGUGGAUCAGCACGCCACGGUGAAUACGUUUCCCGGGCCUUGUACACACCGCCCCGUCACACCAUGGGAGUUGGUUUUACCUGAAGACGGUGCGCUAACCGCAAGGAGGCAGCCGGCCACGGUAGGGUCAGCGACUGGGGUG
rnacentral:rRNA from 1 species